GCUUAGGUAGUUGGUGGAAGGAUGGUCUAAACUGUUGGUUUUCGACUGCUAUGACCCGGGAUCGAAUCCCGCAUUGAGCA
rnacentral:tRNA from 1 species